rnacentral:tRNA from 1 species
GAAGGUAUAGCUCAGCGGUAGAGCACAUGCUUAGCAUGCGUGAGGUCCCAGGUUUGAUCCCCAGUACCUCCA